rnacentral:rRNA from 1 species
UACGUAGGUGGCAAGCGUUGUCCGGAAUUAUUGGGCGUAAAGCGCGCGCAGGUGGUCUCUUAAGUCUGAUGUGAAAGCCCACGGCUCAACCGUGGAGGGUCAUUGGAAACUGGGGGACUUGAGUGCAGAAGAGGAGAGUGGAAUUCCACGUGUAGCGGUGAAAUGCGUAGAGAUGUGGAGGAACACCAGUGGCGAAGGCGACUCUCUGGUCUGUAACUGACGCUGAGGCGCGAAAGCGUGGGGAGCAAACGGG